AACUGUCCAAUAAAAUCAGAGAAACGAAAAUUUCGGAGCCGAGAAAUUAAUUAAAGAACCAAGGAAAAAUAAAUGAAAAAGAAAAAAAAAUAAUAAAAGUCAAAUUUAUCUUCUUCCCAUUUUGGUUGCUGUCUCUCUCUCCCAAAUUCUCUCUCAAACCUCCAUUGUUACCCCAAACUCCAAGCUUGAAAUUGUUUACUCUCCCCAUAAAUCUUUCCCUAAACUAAUAGAAAACCUUAAUUUAAGUCAUUAUUUGGAGAGUGGACGGAAGAAAGACAAGAAAGAGAAGAAAUAAAGAAAGAAUCUCAAGCCUUGAAAAGCAUCACAUAAGGUUAGUGAGGUUCUUCUCAUACCUCUCUUUACAUGCAUGCUUAAGCACUUCAAAUAAGCUAGAAAUUGUGUAAAAUAAGAUAAACAUGGCAUGUUAGGGAACUAGGGUAAAUUCGGCAGCCAUGGGAUUUGAGUGGGGAUGAUAUAUUUAGUUUAAUAGAUGAUGUAUAUAAGUAUAAUGGAGAUCGUAAGUAUGAUUGGAAUACCUUAAUUUUAUUAAUUGUGUUCAUGGUGAAAUUAGGUUUCUUAACCUCUUGAAAAAUUGGAAAAAUUUGGGGAAAUGAUCAAUUGACCUUAAUUGAGGUGAGAAAUGGUCAAUUAUGACCAUUUGUGAUGUGUUUGAAUGGGUAGAAUGAGAUUACAAUUCGGAUUGGUUAGG
rnacentral:misc_RNA from 1 species